UACGUGAGGGUGCGAGCGUUUGUCCGGAAUUAUUGGGCGUAAAGGGCUCGUAGGCGGUUUGUCGCGUCGGGAGUGAAAUCCACUGGCUUAACUGGUGGCUUGCUUUCGAUACGGGCAGACUGGAGGUAUGCAGGGGAGAACGGAAUUCCUGGUGUAGCGGUGAAAUGCGCAGAUAUCAGGAGGAACACCGGUGGCGAAGGCGGUUCUCUGGGCAUGUCCUGACGCUGAGGAGCGAAAGUGUGGGGAGCGAACAGG
rnacentral:rRNA from 1 species